GAUAAGAUGGCUGAGUAGGUGCUAGAUUAUAAAUCUAAGCACAGAGGUUCAGCCCUCUUUUUAUCA
rfam:Cavia porcellus supercont2_137 genomic scaffold, whole genome shotgun sequence.